rnacentral:misc_RNA from 1 species
GAAAUGCGAUAAGUAAUGUGAAUUGCAGAAUUCAGUGAAUCAUCGAAUCUUUGAACGCACAUUGCGCCCCUUGGUAUUCCGGGGGGCAUGCCUGUUCGAGCGUCAUUAUAACCCCUCAAGCUCUGCUUGGUGUUGGGGCCUGCCGUCUGGCAGCCCUUAAAAUCAGUGGCGGUGCCAUCUAGCUCUAAGCGUAGUAAUUUUUCUCGCUAUAGAGUCCCGGUGGAUGCUUGCCAUUAACCCCCAAUUUUCUAUGGUUGACCUCGGAUCAGGUAGGGAUACCCGCUGAACUUAA